GGGUGAUCAGGGUCACACCGAAUAAUCUCAGCCACUCAUCCACACAAGUUUUACAUAAACCGUCCAAUCGCAGCAGCCCUCCUUCCCAUAUAAAAAAGAACCUCUCAACGAAGCGUCAGCCUCGCGCUCGUUUUAUCCUUUUCGGUGUUUUGGGCAUUGAGAUUACAUAUGAAUGAAAAAGCUUUGCAAUCUGGUCGGUGAGAUUGAUCAGUUCUUGUUCGACUCGUUCCCUUGAAGCGAAAGCGAUCGUGUUGCUCUUUCUAUAUGUCUCCACUGUAUUUUUAUUUUUGACAUUGGAGCACACUAGGGCAACUAUAUAUCAUGUAUACUUUUUUCUUUUUGAAAAGGAGUCUAAUUGUGCAACGGUGAUGAGCCAAUACAGACCUGUAAUGACCUACGGACAUGAUCGCAAAUUCAUUAUGAACAUCUAAGGGACUGAGUUGCCUAUAUGAUUCUACUUCGUAGCUUGACUUUUUUUUAAUAAAUUUUGGUUCUUUUUGCUGCUUA